GAGUUUGGAGGGUGCCGGUCAACGAAGCCACGCGAGGUAUUUGAAAGGCAAUCAGCCCGACCGUCCCCCUAGAUUCAUCGGAGAAGGAACUUGGUGAAUAUUGCCCUGGGUCCUGGUAAUUCCACCUACUGAAGACAACUGCCCCUUCUGCUCAUAUUUCCUGAGUUAACAUGGCCGUUCCUAACUUUGAAGAGACUUUAGACAUUCUUUGUUACAAUGAGCCUAGAAGAAAGAAGAGAAAUAUUACAGCGACUGUGCCCGGGACUGUAAGACGGAUAAGACCCAGCAGAAUAACUGCCAUGGAAGGAUGCUCCUCCUGCCAAUUGGCACUUAUCAAUGACAUCGAGGGAGAGGGACAGAGUGCCUAGGUAUGAGCCUUCAUCAAGUGGUAUGAAGGCCCUACUCCAACAGAAAGUGCUGAUGUGAAGAAAUGGUGCUUUGGACAAGACUUUUCCUCCAAGUUGGUCCUAUCCAGGGGUUGGCAAACAGGGUCCCUGGACAUCAUCCCUGUUGUGUACUCUUAUGAAUAAAGUUCUAUAGGACACA
rnacentral:lncRNA from 1 species